UACAGAGGGUGCGAGCGUUAAUCGGAAUUACUGGGCGUAAAGGGCGCGUAGGCGGCACGGCAAGUCAGGAGUGAAAGCCCUGGGCUCAACCCGGGAACUGCUUUUGAAACUGCCGAGCUAGAGUGCGGAAGGGGCAACUGGAAUUCCCAGUGUAGCGGUGAAAUGCGUAGAUAUUGGGAAGAACACCUGAGGCGAAGGCGGGUUGCUGGGCCGACACUGACGCUGAGGCGCGAAAGCCAGGGGAGCGAACGGG
rnacentral:rRNA from 1 species